UUGCUUCAGCAGCACAUAUACUAAAAUUGAAAUGAUACAGAGAAGAUUAGCAUGGCCCUGCACAAGAUUGACAUGCAAAUUUGUGAAGCAGUCCAUAUUUUU
rnacentral:snRNA from 1 species